GUGGCUGUGGCUCAGUGGUAGAGCACUUGCCUUGUAUAUGUGAGGCACUGGGUUCAAUCCUCAGCACCACA
rfam:Ictidomys tridecemlineatus contig032583, whole genome shotgun sequence.